UACAGAGGGUGCGAGCGUUGUCCGGAAUCACUGGGCGUAAAGGGCGCGUAGGCGGCUUGCCAAGUCAGUGGUGAAAUCCCACAGCUUAACUGUGGAAGUGCCUUUGAUACUGGCGAGCUCGAGGGAGGUAGGGGUAUGGUGGAACUUCUGGUGGAGCGGUGAAAUGCGUUGAUAUCAGAAGGAACGCCGGUGGCGAAAGCGACGUACUGGACCUCUCUGACGCUGAGGCGCGAAAGCUAGGGGAGCAAACGGG
rnacentral:rRNA from 1 species